ACUCCUACGGGAGGCAGCAGUGGGGAAUAUUGCACAAUGGGCGCAAGCCUGAUGCAGCCAUGCCGCGUGUAUGAAGAAGGCCUUCGGGUUGUAAAGUACUUUCAGCGGGGAGGAAGGCAAUACGGUUAAUAACCGUGUUGAUUGACGUUACCCGCAGAAGAAGCACCGGCUAACUCCGUGCCAGCAGCCGCGGUAAUACGGAGGGUGCAAGCGUUAAUCGGAAUUACUGGGCGUAAAGCGCACGCAGGCGGUCUGUCAAGUCGGAUGUGAAAUCCCCGGGCUCAACCUGGGAACUGCAUUCGAAACUGGCAGGCUUGAGUCUUGUAGAGGGGGGUAGAAUUCCAGGUGUAGCGGUGAAAUGCGUAGAGAUCUGGAGGAAUACCGGUGGCGAAGGCGGCCCCCUGGACAAAGACUGACGCUCAGGUGCGAAAGCGUGGGGAGCAAACAGGAUUAGAAACCCGGGUAGUCCCAUGAU
rnacentral:rRNA from 1 species